rfam:Spironucleus salmonicida unplaced genomic scaffold scf7180000020633, whole genome shotgun sequence.
GCACCACUAGUAUAGCGGUAGUAUGGCACCCUUCCAAGGUGUAUGUCCGGGUUCGACUCCCGGGUGGCGCA